rnacentral:misc_RNA from 1 species
GACACAUAGUUCAUCUAUAUACUGCACCCUAGUUCAUACAGUUAUCAGUACAUUAGUUAUUUUGACCAUUGUUACAUAACCACAGUCAGCUCUCUGUGCCACAACAUAGUCCAAGAUCAAUUGAACAGAAUACAUGGCUUAAAAAAUUCCUCAAUUUGGUCUUCUGUAAGACAGCAAACCUCACACAUCAUUUACAUGAGUAGCAUAGCGAAAAGAACUUAACAGGGUAGUUAUGUUAAAAGAAAAUAGAGAAUUUCAACACAUAAUUAUAAAUCAAAGGUUUCCUUUUGGCAGAGUGCUAUAUGUUACCAGAUUGCCUCCAGCCACUUAACAAGC